rnacentral:rRNA from 1 species
UACGUAGGGGGCAAGCGUUGUCCGGAUUCAUUGGGCGUAAAGAGCGUGUAGGCGGCCAGGUAGGUCGGUUGUGAAAACUGGAGGCUCAACCUUCAGAGGUCGACCGAAACCAUCUGGCUAGAGUCCGGAGAGGAGAGUGGAAUUCCUGGUGUGAGCGGUGAAAUGCGCAGAUAUCAGGAAGAACACCCGUGCGAAAGCGGCUCUCUGGAACGGUACUGACGCUGAGACGCGAAAGCGUGGGAGCGAACAGG